rnacentral:misc_RNA from 1 species
AAAAAAAAAAAAAAGGUUCCUAACUAAGUUUCUCAUCACUAGACAUAUAUUUUAUUUUGUACCUCGCAUAUAGAAAAACUAUACUAGACUGGGAUGAUGGAAUGUCACACGUGGUGAGAUGGACUAAAAAAUCUCAAUUUCGAGUUGGAUUCUGGCAUAUGAAGCAUUAUGUAUGGGACUUUUUGGUAGUUGGUAAUAACACAAUCUAUAUGACAAUGUUAAACUUAAGAUGAUGUUGUUGAGAGCCCUCUAAAACGGAAGAGUCAUCAUAUCAACCAAAAUAAAAAAUUGUCUAGACUGCUUUUUAUUGGCUAUUGUUUUCAGCCCUAUUCAAUUGCUUGCUACAGUUGUCAUACUACUGCUUUUUCAUGUUUUAUCUCUUUUUUUGAAGGAUUAGCUCUUGUAUAUGUGGGUUUAAAUUUAUUUACAAGUCAAACUCGAAUUCAAGUCUGAUAUUGGAUAUCACAUCAGCUGCUAUAUCUAGAGUUUGAUAUUACUGUUGAGAUGAAUUUAGGUUGUUGACAUACUAAUUUGAAAGUUCACACACUAGCAUAUGGAUAAAUAUUAUGCCUUUGAACUUAAAUGGUCAACAUGUAUAAUAUCUAGUGAACAAACUGUGAGUUUGUAAGUGUUGGUUCAUAAAAUGCAUGGUAAUCUCAUAAUGUUUUUCGGAUGACUAAUGUGAAAUCUCUCAUGGUUGGCCGUAUAAAUGUUGAGUUUGGGUGUAGAUGGAGGUUGGAUUCUUAUGUUUGGGGUAAAUUUCACCUAUUUCCACUCUACUUAGGACUUAAUCUUACAGUAACUAGAAUUUAAUUUAUCACAAAAAUACCAAAACUUAAUUACCUUUUAGUAAGGUCAUUGGAGCCACAUGCUGGUUAUAAACUUGUCAGAAAACUGAUGUGUUAGUCUAUGAAAAUUUAUUUUAAUUCAACUAAGAGAUGCAAGAAUUACCAUUGAAGCUAAAGUUGCUUUCUCCUGUCACUCUCUCUCAAUAGGGGUUAUUAUGUGGAUUUCUAGCAGGUGGCCAUGUCAGGUUUGACAACCAUUGAUUUAAGUGUAUUCUCAGUAACUCUAUAACUUCAUUGAAAUGGAAAUUUAAACUUUGGCAAUUUUUCUUCAAAGUUGAAGUUCCAUCACCAUGCUGAAAUCAAAUUCUAAGUUGAGCAAUUAUAAUUUAUGAGUAAAAUUAACCCCUUAUGUCUGACACUUAUUCACAGAAGUCCUAUGUGCGGGUCUGUAGGAGCACACAUGAUAAGGCUGUUCAAGCAUGUGCUUGAGCUCUACCUUGCUGGUUAGAGUUUAAGUUCUUUUGUUUGCCUUUAAUAUCCUUGAAAUCUUUGAAGGAAUUGUGAUGUAGCGUCUGUGUCGGUCAUUUCUUGGAUUAAAUUGGACUGUAUCUUGCAUGAUGAACAACCUAAAUGUCACUGUCUGACGUGUUCAAAUUUUUAUGUGAAACACCCCCCCCGUUUCUUUAAUAUGUGUUUUGUUUGAGAUGCUCAAUCUCCUUUAACAUCCCCCUCCCCACACAUCCAUCCCACCACUGUGGUAGAAAUCGAUGCCGUGCAUAUCCAUGUGUCAUUUUUAUAUGUGCUUUGCUGUGGCAGUGUGGCCUUUAUCUGUACUUAAUAUUUGCUUUUAAAUUCAGCGGCGGUAUUUAGGAAUAUACGGUAAAUAGCUUGCCUCCUUUUCUUUGUUUUAAACUACAUUACUUCUUUAUG